rnacentral:rRNA from 1 species
GGCUUAACCCAGAGGCUGCUUCCGAAACUGCCGUGCUAGAGUGUGAGAGAGGCGAGUGGAAUUACGGGUGUAGCGGUGAAAUGCGUAGAUAUCCGUAGGAACAUCCGAGGCGAAGGCGGCUCGCUGGAUCACAACUGACGCUGAGGGACGAAAGCUAGGGGAGCAAACAGGAUUAGAUACCCUGGUAGUCCUAGCCCUAAACCAUCAGGACUUGGGGUUUGCCCUGUACGGGGCAAGUCCCGUAGCUAACGCGUUAAGUCCUGCGCCUGGGGAGUACGGUCGCAAGACUGAAACUCAAAGGAAUUGACGGGGGCCCGCACAAGCGGUGGAACAUGUGGUUCAAUUCGACGCAACGCGAAGAACCUUACC